rnacentral:lncRNA from 1 species
ACUAUGGAUGAAACAUCACAGUGAGGGAGGGAAAAAUAUUAUUAUCAUUAGUAAAAAAGCAGCUAGCACCAAAAAAGGCAAAAGCAAAGGGAAGCUGUUGCAACUAUUCUUUUUUCUAGUUUGGCAGAUUUGAUGUGCAAGUGUAAACAUCAGCUUCCCCCACUAGGCACAAUAUAUAGAUUCAUGUGCUAUGAGCUUGAUCAAGUCUCAGUCAUCCCCCAUUAAUGGGGUUUUGGAGAUUGUGGUCGCUAACCCAACUCCUCCAUCUUUGGUAAAAUCAUUGCUCUUUUUCUCUCUCAUAUCAAUUGCCACUUUGUCUAAAGUGGUGCAAUAGUUCCUUCUUGUCUUAGAUUAGGCACCACUGAAAAGCUGGCCACUAAAAUGAAUCAUUCUCGCAGCUUGGUAGAUACGUAAGUGGGCAUAGACGAUAACUAGCAAAUGCAAUGGAUUCUCCAUGUGGAUGGAUAGGAUGAAGAGAUGUGUGAUUGGAGUAAGUAAUGGGUUAAAAUAAUAUAUGAAAAGUGAUUCCAAAGUAAUGAUGCCCACCAAGAGAGAUAUGAGUAGUAUGUCUAUGUAUAUUUCACCUUUCUUCUCUCUUUUCAAAGCUUCACAUUCUUACAGUGAAAAAGACAAGACAAUUCAGAUAGGAUUUGAAAGGUGACAUUACAAAGAAUCAGCCAACGCAUUGGACCAAUGUAGGAGAGCAAACAUUUACUACUACUUGCUAUUAUUGCACUGCAAUAUGAUUGUGCCAUCAACCAUCCAGUGCUCAUCUCUGCUUAUAUUGGGCCUACAAAUAGUAAUAAUGGACCAUCAUGUUCCUUAAUUAGUUGCUUUGUCUAUUAAUUAAAUAUUUUUAUAUCAUUAAUAAUGGCGAAUAUUGCAAAUCAAC